rnacentral:rRNA from 1 species
AACGAACGCUGGCGGCAGGCCUAACACAUGCAAGUCGAACGCCCUGGCAACAGGGAGUGGCAGACGGGUGCGUAACGCGUGGGAACAUGCCCUUUGGUUCGGAAUAACUCAGGGGAACUUGAGCUAAUACCGGAUAAGCCCGAGAGGGGAAAGAUUUAUCGCCGAAGGAUUGGCCCGCGUCUGAUUAGCUAGUUGGUGAGGUAAUGGCUCACCAAGGCGACGAUCAGUAGCUGGUCUGAGAGGAUGAUCAGCCACACUGGGACUGAGACACGGCCCAGACUCCUACGGGAGGCAGCAGUGGGGAAUAUUGGACUAUGGGCGCCAGCCUGAUCCAGCCAUGCCGUGUGAGUUAUGAAGGCC